CAUACACACACACACUCUGCUGAGUCCAUACACACAAACACACACAGACUCUGCUGAGUCCAUACACACACACAGACUCUGCUGAGUCCAUACACACACAGACUGCUGAGUCCAUACACAAACACACAGACUGCUGAGUCUAUACACACACACAGAUUGCUGAGUCCAUACAGACACACACACACAGACUGCUGAGUCCGUACACGUACACACACACAGACUCUGCUGAGUCCAUACACACACAAACUGCUGAGUCCACACACACACAAACUGCUGAGUCCACACACACAC